rfam:Tissierella creatinophila DSM 6911 TICR_contig000043, whole genome shotgun sequence.
GCAUAGCGAUGAUACAAAAGGUGGCUGUUAUAAAUGCAGGAAAUUUUUGUGGAGUAUGUUCGGUUUAAAACCGGUCGACUA